rnacentral:lncRNA from 1 species
AUAGUUACUUGGGACAACAGUUUUAGCAGGGCUCUCUUUCUCCUUUCCUGAUCUCUCUGUUAAGCUGCCUGGCUCAUUUGAUAUCACAUCCAAAUUAUCAGCUGAUUGCUCUAUUGUUUUGGACAAUGCCCUGAAGCAUACCAAAAUGUGUCUGGAAUUGGUGGGUUCUUGGUCUUACUGACUUUAAGAAUGAAGUUGCGGACUUUUGCGUAAGAAGAAAGCCCAAAGACAAAACCAGAGGCAACUGGCUGCUGCAUCGCCCACCUAGUGGCAGUAGUGUGAGCUAUGGACAAAAGAUCUAAGUCUCCAGGACAAAGAGUUGUGCAGCUGCUCAUUUUCCUGUUGACUUCUGUCUAAGACUUGGAGAUGUUUGUAAGAUUGGGACCUACCUACAGAGCUCCAGAGGGAAGUGAGAAGGAUGUUCACUUGCUGGUGAGAGAAGGAGCUGGUUCCAUCCAUUACGCAGUCCCCUGGGAGCGCUAAAUGCAACUUUAUCUCAACGGGGAGUGGACGAUGAGCAGGACGUCGCUAGAGGGAAAGAGCCUCACUUCCCGUUUCCUUUGGCAGCGCCCUUUU